GCCUUGUCGUAGAGCAUGGCGCCUACCACCGCCUCACGGGCGGUGGAUGCGAGCCGGGACCGCUAUUCGGUCCCGGCGGGCUGGACG
rnacentral:tRNA from 1 species